GGAGUUUGGACCGUGUCUCAGUUCCAAUGUGGGGGACCUUCCUCUCAGAACCCCUACUGAUCGCAGGCUUGGUGGGCCGUCACCCCGCCAACUAGCUAAUGCGGCGCAUGCCCAUCCUUCACCGGAUCGCUCCUUUCACACAUAGCCGAUGCCGGCAACGUGUGUAUGGGGGAAUUAGGCCUCGUUUCCAAGGGGUUAUGCCCCAGUGAAGGGCAGGUUGCAUACGUGUUACUCACCAGUGCGCCGGUCGCCGGCAGGGCGGUGUUGCCACUGCCCCCCGCUGCCCCUCCGACUUGCAUGUGUUAAGCCUGUCGCUAGCGUUCAUC
rnacentral:rRNA from 1 species